AGUAAGGGCAACCGAGGAGCACAUAAAUAACUAUAAUCUGAAAGAGUGUCUCUUAGAUAUGGGAGGUGUAUGUAUAUAGGGAUAAACUACAGAAAACUCCAAGGUCUUGGUCUGGGAUACUGUAACAAAAUGGAAUGUCAAGAAGAGAAGCCAAUGUGAGAGACAACGAUGCCAAAUUUGGUUUUGAGCCCAUUUGAGGUUAAAUUAGAAGUGUGCUUAAUUUUGUUAAGGGUCUUUUGGACCCAUGCUUCAAGGGUCAAGUGUUAACUUUUCAGAAACAACCUUUAAUGAGUCAGGAUAAAAACCAUCUGGUUCAGGGAUUCUUCUUUCAAAUGGAGGAAAUUCAGAAGAGACGAGAAAUUUCCCACCAUUAUAAGAAUUCCACUGGAGGCAUACUGAAGCAGCUCAGAAAAUCAAUGUAUCCGCUCCUAUCUUUCAUUCCUUUUGUCUUCCUGCCCAUCCAUGAAAGGAAGUGAAAAAGAAAUGUUGCAAAGAAGAAUAGAGAGACGAUAAGGUUUUCGUUCUACAGGCUGAAUGUGCAAAAUGUAAGCUCUCAAAUGAGAUUAAAAAAAAAUGCAGCCUUGCUUAUAAAAGGCGAAUGGGUCCUGGACAAUGCACUACAGACGCGGGUGCCUACAGGAUGUCUUGAGGCAGGUGGGUGGAAGUGUGAGGAAGCCACCUGGAAGAGGGAGGACAGGGCCCAAAUCAGACACAGCUCUCCAUCCUCCCUAAACAGGCUCGCCUAAGUGACACUUCCUUGUGUCCCAGGAAGUGACGAUCAGCCAGUGUAGAUGUUGUGACUCGCGGGUCUCACCCACUCCGAGGGUGCUGCAGGGCGCCCAGAGCGAGACGUCUUCCGCCGGCCCCAUUCCCGAAGAGGCCGCGCCG
rnacentral:lncRNA from 1 species